GUGUCAGCCGCCGCGGUAAGACGAACCGUGCGAACGUUGUUCGGAAUCACUGGGCUUAAAGGGCGCGUAGGCGGGCCCUCCAGUCAGGGGUGAAAUCUUCCGGCUCAACCGGAAAAGUGCCCCUGAUACUGAGGGUCUCGAGGGGUGUAGGGGCAUGUGGAACUUCCGGUGGAGCGGUGAAAUGCGUAGAUAUCGGAAGGAACGCCGGUGGCGAAAGCGACGUGCUGGACACCUUCUGACGCUGAGGCGCGAAAGCCAGGGGAGCAAACGGGAUUAGAAACCCCCGUAGUCC
rnacentral:rRNA from 1 species